rnacentral:rRNA from 1 species
AUACGGAGGGGACUAGCGUUGUUCGGAAUUACUGGGCGUAAAGAGUUCGUAGGCGGACUGAUAAGUAAGAGGUGAAAUCCCAGGGCUCAACCCUGGAACUGCCUUUUAAACUGUCAGUCUAGAGACCGGAAGAGGUUAGGGGAAUACCUAGUGUAGAGGUGAAAUUCGUAGAUAUUAGGUGGAACACCAGUGGCGAAGGCGCCUAACUGGUCCGGUACUGACGCUGAGGAACGAAAGCGUGGGGAGCAAACAGAAUUAGAUACCCUAGUAGUCC